AAGACUAUACUUCCAGGGAUCAUUUCUGUAGUUGUUACUAAAAUAGUAAAACUAUCUUGGUGAGUAUUCUAGAAAACAAAAGCUUGUGCCG
ensembl:snoRNA U3 Small nucleolar RNA U3